rnacentral:rRNA from 1 species
GACGAACGCUGGCGGCGUGCCUAAUACAUGCAAGUCGAACGCAGUGGGGACGGGUGAGUAACACGUGGGUAACCUCCCAUCAGAGGGGAUAACCCUUGGAAACUGGUGCUAAACCGAUACUGAUGGCUGCACCAGCUGUGCAUUAGCUAGUUGGUGAGGUAACGGCUCACCAAGGCCACGAUGCAUAGCCGAGCUGAGAGGGGGAUCGGCCACACUGGGACUGAGAUACGGCCCAGACUCCUACGGGAGGCAGCAUGGAGGAAUUUUGGACAAGGGGGGAAACCCUGAUCCAGCCAUCCCGCGUGUGUGAUGAAGGCCUUCGGGUUGUAAAGCACUUUUGGCAGGAAAGCGGUACCUGCAGAAUAAGCACCGGCUAACUACGUGCCAGCCGCCGCGGUAAUAC